rnacentral:rRNA from 1 species
AGGAUUGCUAGCACUUAGCUGGCUUUCUUUGCAAUUCCAGGUCUAUGUUUUUCAUAUACCCAUUGUAUGUAACAGAAUGUAUCAUUGGGCCUUGUGCCUAUAAACCUUAUACAACUUUCAGCAACGGAUCUCUUGGCUCUCGCAUCGAUGAAGAACGCAGCGAAAUGCGAUAAGUAAUGUGAAUUGCAGAAUUCAGUGAAUCAUCGAAUCUUUGAACGCACCUUGCGCUCCUUGGUAUUCCGAGGAGCAUGCCUGUUUGAGUGUCAUUAAAUUCUCAACUGUUAUCAACUUUUGCUGAUAAUGGCUUGGAUGUGGGGGUUUAUUUUGCUGGCUUCUCAGAUAGUCAGCUCCCCUUAAAUGCAUUAGCCGGUGCCCCGCGUGGACUGUCUAUUGGUGUGAUAAUUAUCUACGCUAUGGACAUCUGCAAUCAUAUGGGUGUGCACUGCUUCCAACAGUCUGUUAAAGACAAUACAUGACAAUUGACC